CUAUCCAUCCACUUAGAUAGCUUUCUGUUAACUAUUCUCAAAAAUGCCUUUUUAGUUUCAGUGUAUUGGUUUUGCAUGUAAUCCCUAGUAUUAUCUGAGUAUUUCUUACAGCAUAAUCUAAUUUCACUUUACAUAGGCAUAUUGAUUCAACCUGGCUAGAAUUAACUAAUAUCAGGCUUGAGUAUACUGUAGGAUGGAUUCUGCUGUCGUGCUUUUCCAGAGCAGUGCUUUAUCAAAGAAGAGUGCAUUAAGCUGGCUGGCCACAGGUAACACGGCUUUCCCUUAUUUCAUUCUUAAAACUCAUCUAUUUCCAUGUUCUGUGCUAUUUUUUGACAUAAGAGACUUACUUUAUUGAAGUUUCUACUCUUGUUUGUUUGUUUUUUUUUCCUUUUACCAGUGGCUACUGAAGUUGAAUUUGGAAAACUUUUUAUUAAGUUUGGCAAGACAAGCUGGAAAAUGUUUAUAUAAGUUUACAAAUCCAUUUUAUCAGUUAACACUUCAAAACAGUAACAUGCUAAUUUAUCCUUAGUACAUACAGAUCACAAAAAAUACACACAGAUACAUAAUUUAUAUUUAUUCAAUAAUCUUCUAUUAUGGAAACACUUAUUCUUAUUUCAAAUUAUGUGUUUAAUAUAUAUGCAUUUGCAUGUAAGUGUUUCUAAGAAUUUAAGCUGUUAUUUCUAAAUGUCUUUACUCUUAAGUUUCCACUCUGCAAAGGAUUGGGACUCAGUACUAAGAAAAAGUGUAAGUCUUCCUCUGUACUUGUGAUGUGCUGAGCUGUGUCCGCCCAGAAUUCAUAUGUUGAAGACCUAACCUCCAGUACCUCAGAAUGUGACUGAAUUUAGAACAGGUCCUUUAAAGCGGUAAUUAAGGUAAAAUGAAAUCAUAUGGGUGAGACCUAAUUCAAUGUGAUUGAUGUUCUCGUGAGAAGAGAUUGAGACGGACACAAAGGGAAGACCACAUGAAGACUGAUGAUAGUCAUCUGCAAGCUAAGGGGAGAGUCCUCAGAAGAAACCUACUCUGCCAGCACCUCAGUCUGACUUUGAGACUCCAGAAUUGUGAGACAAUGAAUUUCUGCUCUUUAAGCCACCUCCUCUGUGGAAUUUUGUUGUGGCAGCUCUAGCAAACUAAAUACAAACCAAAUAUGUUGAACCUUAGAUUUUCUUUCUACCCUAAAAAGUUAAGUGCAGUGAUGCAUUUUACGUUUCUACACUGAAUAAUUGAGUAAGUAACUUUAAGGUACACAAAGUGUUCAUUUGAUGCAUUUAUAUAUUGCAGCAUGAUUGCAGCUGUAGCAUUAGCUAACACCUCCAUCAUGUCACAUACUUAUUAUUUUGUUUUGUGAUGAGAACAUUUACGAUGCAGUCUCUUAAGAACUUUGCAGUAUAUACUACAGAAUUGUUGAAUCCCCGUGCUGUGCAUUGAUCUCUGGAACUUCUUCAUCUUCUAACUGCAGAGGAUUUUUCACUGAUCUGUUGUAAUUCUCAGAAGUCAUGUAAGUGCAUCAGUCAACAAUUGAGCAAAAUUCUGGAUCAUUAGCCUUUUAGGGAGAAAGGUGUCAAUGUCUUUAGGUAAGUCCAUUGUUGUGGAUACUGAUGAUUGAAGGAAAGAUGGAAGCAGUAAUGAUAACCUAUGAUAUUGAGAUUGUAUCAAAGAAAUCUGAUUCCGUGGACAGGGAGCCUCUAAUGAUGGCUGGGAUCUUCAUGGUCCUGAGCCCCAAAUAUUCACGUGUUCAGCAGUUAUUGCCAUGCCAGAUGCCAGACACAGGCCAAAAUUGUACGGAAGCCCAGGUGUUCCCCCUCUAGUACCUGCAGGAGUCAGAACACCCAAUCGCCUGCCUCCCUACGGGAGUCGUCACUCGGGCCCGCCCUCUAACCACAGUAAAAGCCCCAACCCAGUCUGCUUUCCUGGUUCUCUCCAGCCACCCCGGACCUGCUUGAGGCUGUUCUGCUCAUCCCAGAGAUCUCAGUUAAGUUUUUACCAACAUACCUUAGUGGACCACCUUGCAGAGUCAAUUAAAUCACAGCAUAUUGCCUGAGAGCUGCAUCUCACGAGCUGCUUAUGCUCAGGUGCAGCUCUUUAGUCAUAUAGCUGAUAAAGUCAAUUUCAUGAUGCUAUUCUCACCUUUACUUGGGCACGUGUUGCCCAGGAGAUGGACAUUAACAUUAAAAUGAAGUAAAUGCAAGAAUAAACAAAU